CAAGUCGAGCGGUAGAGAGAAGCUUGCUUCUCUUGAGAGCGGCGGACGGGUGAGUAAUGCCUAGGAAUCUGCCUGGUAGUGGGGGAUAACGUUCGGAAACGGACGCUAAUACCGCAUACGUCCUACGGGGGAAAGCAGGGGAUCUUCGGACCUUGCGCUAAUAGAUGAGCCUAAGUCAGAUUAGCUAGUUGGUGGGGUAAAGGCCUACCAAGGCGACGAUCUGUAGCGGGUCUGAGAGGAUGAUCCGCCACACUGGGACUGAGACACGGCCCAGACUCCUACGGGAGGCAGCAGUGGGGAAUAUUGGACAAUGGGCGAAAGCCUGAUCCAGCCAUGCCGCGUGUGUGAAGAAGGCCUUUUGGUUGUAAAGCACUUUAAGCGAGGAGGAGGCUACUCGGAUUAAUACUCUAGGAUAGUGGACGUUACUCGCAGAAUAAGCACCGGCUAACUCUGUGCCAGCAGCCGCGGUAAUACAGAGGGUGCGAGCGUUAAUCGGAUUUACUGGGCGUAAAGCGUGCGUAGGCGGCUUUUUAAGUCGGAUGUGAAAUCCCUGAGCUUAACUUAGGAAUUGCAUUCGAUACUGGGAAGCUAGAGUAUGGGAGAGGAUGGUAGAAUUCCAGGUGUAGCGGUGAAAUGCGUAGAGAUCUGGAGGAAUACCGAUGGCGAAGGCAGCCAUCUGGCCUAAUACUGACGCUGAGGUACGAAAGCAUGGGGAGCAAACAGGAUUAGAUACCCUGGUAGUCCAUGCCGUAAACGAUGUCUACUAGCCGUUGGGGCCUUUGAGGCUUUAGUGGCGCAGCUAACGCGAUAAGUAGACCGCCUGGGGAGUACGGUCGCAAGACUAAAACUCAAAUGAAUUGACGG
rnacentral:rRNA from 1 species